GCAUAUCAAUAAGCGGAGGAAAAGAAACCAACAGGGAUUGCCCUAGUAACGGCGAGUGAAGCGGCAACAGCUCAAAUUUGAAAUCUGGCUCUCGGGCCCGAGUUGUAAUUUGUAGAGGAUGCUUUUGAUGCGGUGCCUUCCGAGUUCCCUGGAACGGGACGCCAUAGAGGGUGAGAGCCCCCGUCUGGUUGGAUGCCAAAUCUCUGUAAAGCUCCUUCGACGAGUCGAGUAGUUUGGGAAUGCUGCUCUAAAUGGGAGGUAUAUGUCUUCUAAAGCUAAAUACCGGCCAGAGACCGAUAGCGCACAAGUAGAGUGAUCGAAAGAUGAAAAGCACUUUGAAAAGAGAGUUAAAAAGUACGUGAAAUUGUUGAAAGGGAAGCGUUUAUGACCAGACUUGGGCUUGGAUAAUCAUCUGGGGUUCUCUCCAGUGCACUUUUCCAGUCCAGGCCAGCAUCAGUUUUCGCCGGGGGAUAAAGGCUUCGGGAAUGUGGCUCUCUCCGGGGAGUGUUAUAGCCCGUUGCGUAAUACCCUGGCGGGGACUGAGGUUCGCGCAUCUGCAAGGAUGCUGGCGUAAUGGUCAUCAACGACCCGUCUUGAAACACGGACCAAGGAGUCGUCUUCGUAUGCGAGUGUUCGGGUGUCAAACCCCUACGCGUAAUGAAAGUGAACGCAGGUGAGAGCUUCGGCGCAUCAUCGACCGAUCCUGAUGUUCUCGGAUGGAUUUGAGUAAGAGCAUACGGGGCCGGACCCGAAAGAAGGUGAACUAUGCCUGUGUAGGGUGAAGCCAGAGGAAACUCUGGUGGAGGCUCGCAGCGGUUCUGACGUGCAAAUCGAUCGUCAAACAUGGGCAUGGGGGGCGAAAGACUAAUCGAAUCUUCUAGUAGCUGGUUUCUGCCGAG
rnacentral:rRNA from 1 species